rnacentral:tRNA from 1 species
GCCCCUUUAGCUCAGUAGGUAGAGCGUUCGUCUCAUAACCAAAAGAAAGACAGCGAAAGGUCGGCAGUUCGAUCCUGUCAGGGGGCA